GGCUGACAUGUAAUUCCAAAAUGUACAACCUAUUGGCAUGCAAGUGGAAGCUCAUUGAAAGAAUGCGUCGACGAAGGUGAAAAUCCAGCUUGCUGCUUUCAAUGUUGUUGUUUAUGGUGUAUACUUCAUGAGUCACAUUCCUUGGCAUUGGAAUGCAAUGUGGGUGGUACACUUCAUGCAAAGAUUAAUAUGUGGUUGAGAUUGAUAGUGCACAAAUACCGUGAGGGAAAUAUGAAAAGGACUUUGGAAAGAGAGUUAAAUGAGUUUGCAAUUGCUGAACAAAAACAAAUAGGAUGUCGGUGUUUGCGCAGAAUGUUGUACCUGGUGUUGUUUCAAUUGUGAGCACGUGCAUAUUCAAUGAUUCUUUUCUUGUCUACCAUAUCAUUCUCUGUGCAUCAUGACGUUUGCAGGUGGUGAGGUUUCUUGGGUGACAAUGACAACAUUUGCUUGAGUAUGGUAUGCCAAGUGAUCAUCGUGUUUGAAAUGUGCAUGGUGCUUACGCCAACCUUGUGGGGUGACUGUUUGUGUUGAGCUGUGCUCUGCCUUCUGCCGUUGUCUGUUGGUGAGCAUAUCCUGCUUGACCCGUCUUGAAACACGGACCAAGGAGUCUAAUAGGUGUGCAAGCUUUGAAAACCUUAUCUUGUCGAAACCAAUGAAAUUAAGAGCUGGGAUGUUUGCACCAGCAACCAAUUGAUUGGUGGGCAAAGCCUUGAGUUGGAGCAUGCUUAUUAGGACCCGAAAG
rnacentral:rRNA from 1 species